rnacentral:lncRNA from 1 species
GGAAGGGAAGGGCCGCGUGCGCGGGCCGGGCUCAGCUCCGAGGAGCUGCCUGAGUUCUGCUCCUGGAGACCCGGCUCAGGUCUGGAGUGAUGGCUUCAGUAACACGAUUUCACCACCAAGACUGCAAGGCCAAAAUCCAGUUUUCCUUCAAGAGAUUGUAUAAAAUGACGCAAAUCCUGCUGGGAAGCCGAUGCCAUCAAAAUAUCACCCGUUGAGAAGCCUCCAUCAGGUAGCUAGUGCCAGGAAACCGUGUUUUUCAUGCAAGGUGAUUAGCAUCAGAGUUUGGAAGUUCUACUUGUAUCACUAGUUGAUCAGCACUUUGCUAAUGCAUUGCACGGGUGUGCCUGAAUUUAAAUGAAGGCCAGCCACGCAGUCCUUUUCCAACUGUUUAUUCAACAAUACAUUGUUGGAGCCAGGUUCAUUGCUUCUUGACAGAAGUGCUUGUUAACUCUGAAUCUAUGAUGAUGAUGAUAAUAAUAACCGAGUGACUGGAAAGUGUAGAGAAAAAUAGUGUUUAAAAUUCAGACAGGCUUGCAUAGGUUGCAAAA